CAGCGCCGCGGUAAUACGUAGGUGGCAAGCGUUGUCCGGAAUUAUUGGGCGUAAAGGGCUCGCAGGCGGUUUCUUAAGUCUGAUGUGAAAGCCCCCGGCUCAACCGGGGAGGGUCAUUGGAAACUGGGAAACUUGAGUGCAGAAGAGGAGAGUGGAAUUCCACGUGUAGCGGUGAAAUGCGUAGAGAUGUGGAGGAACAUCAGUGGCGAAGGCGACUCUCUGGUCUGUAACUGACGCUGAGGAGCGAAAGCGUGGGGAGCGAACAGGAUUAGAUACCCGAGUAGUCCCUGUCUCUUAUACA
rnacentral:rRNA from 1 species